rnacentral:rRNA from 1 species
AAAACACUGACGAACGCUGGCGGCGUGCUUAACACAUGCAAGUCGAACGGUGACCUCGGAGCUUGCUCCGGGUGAUCAGUGGCGAACGGGUGAGUAACACGUGAGCAACCUGCCCCCGACUCUGGGAUAACCCCGGGAAAUCGGAGCUAAUACCGGAUACGAGACGUACAGGCAUCUGUUGCGUCUGGAAAGAAUUUCGGUCGGGGAUGGGCUCGCGGCCUAUCAGCUAGUUGGUGGGGUAGUGGCCUACCAAGGCGACGACGGGUAGCCGGCCUGAGAGGGCGACCGGCCACACUGGGACUGAGACACGGCCCAG